rnacentral:misc_RNA from 1 species
ACCGGCACGCAGAUCACCGCCCAGGCCAGCAUCGUUUUCGACACCAACGCCGCCAUCGCGACCAACACCGUCACCAACACCAUCGACGCCGGCCGGCCGGCCGGCAAGGUCAAGAAGCUGACGGCCGUUAAACCGGUAGGCCGAAUUAAGGUGCAGUGGGGCGGCACCGACGACACGGGUGGGUCCGGAAUCGGGACUUACGACAUCUUCGUCUCGAUCAACGGCAAGGCGUUCGUGCUCUGGCUCGACGACACCGUCAAAACGCAGGCCUUCUACAAGGGGAAGCGACGCAAGACGUAUUCGUUCUUCUCCGUCGCCACCGACCACGUCGGCAACGCCCAGACCCCGCCGAUGAAGGGGCAGAAGACGAUUCGUCUGCUAUGAGUGCUGUCCGACACUGACUGUUUGCCAGCAUCCCAUGAAAACAAACACACAUCUCGGGGGCCAUCCGGUGAUCCCUUGCCGCGAAGUCGGAUUCCUAACCCACGCUGGGCAUGGGACCACCAGACCCCACCGGGGCUAUUCCCCACGCUUUGCCCUUCCGUCCCACCGUAUUUCUCCCUCAAUGGGAUCCGCUGGCGGGGUUCCUCAUCAUGCGGGUCAGGGCGUUCUUGACCGUGGCGGCGUCGCAGCCCAUGCCGGCGGCUUGCCGGCGCGGGCGGCCUGGAGCCUCUCCAGCGUGUGCAGCGCCUGGAGUAUCUGCCGCGACAGGUGGGCCUCGUACCGCAUCACCCUCCCUAGCACCUUCUCCCCCGGCAGCAGCCGCUGCGCCCGUGCGCGGUCCUCCCUGAGGUGGACAACCGGCCGCAGGCCCUCGGCCCGCUCGCGCAGCCGGGCCACCUCUCUCUGAUUCCGGGACCCUAAGGACUCUUCAACAGGGCGUCGAUCGUCGCCACCGCGAUGGGGUGGUACGUCGGCCGUGCCUUCUCGUAAAUCCGUUUCGCCCGCUCCUUCCCCUCUGGAGUCUUCACCAGCUCCUCGUACAGCGGCUUCAGGAACUUCCUCCGCCCCUGCGAGGUCAAGAACUCCUCCAGCCUCGGGUACGCCGGCUCAUAGCCGUGCCGCACCGACAGCAGCAGCCAUUGAAAGAUCACCUCCGCGUUGGUCUUCUUCGUGAGUCCCAGGGCCGUGUCGAGGUCCUUCAUCCGGGCCGUCGUGAGCUCCUUCGGGAGCACGUCCAGGAAGUGCAACCACUCUUGCGUGGACCAGUCCUCGGUUCGCAGGUCCUUCGCCGCGACUUUCCCCUCCGCCCAGCCCUUCGCCUGUUGGUCCACCGCCUCGAACGCCUGGGCUCGAAACGUGGGGGCCGUCCCCGGCAGCCCCGGCUUGUAGAUCCACUCGUUCACCGGCACCUUCGCCGCCAACUCCGGAUCGUUCUUGAGCAGGUGCUUUUCCAGAUACCCGACGAAGUCCGCCGUGGUGAUGCUCUGGAAGGCGAAAUGAUCGAAGUACCCCUUCAGAAACUUGUCGAACUUGUCGCGGCCGAACGUCGCCUCCAGGUGUUUGAGGAACAACGUCCCCUUCUCGUAGGGGACGUCGGUGAGCCCGUCGUCCGGGUCGCGGCCCUUCAGGUCGGCGUGCAGCACCUGGUCCGACAGUUUGAGGUCGGCCAUCUCGCGCUCCAGGCUCCGCCGUCCCAGGAACGCCUCCAUCUCGGCG